rfam:Branchiostoma floridae genomic scaffold BRAFLscaffold_260, whole genome shotgun sequence.
GCCAUGUGCCGUCAGCAGCGCGUCGUUUGUGGCACUCCACUACUACAUGUACUUCCUGGAGGCUGGGUGGUGGAGCGCUUGAGGCCGGCGCGCUGUGCUAUGACGAUUGGGCGACUCGCUAAGUUCGGCACCGAUAUGGUUACCCAGGAGCCCAGGACUAACAGGUUGUUCUGUUUCAAGAGGGACACACCGACCCAGGUUGGAAACAACGCAGGUAAAAGUCCCCGUGUCGAUCCGAGGGGCAGGGUCGCGCCCGUGAAUAGGCAAUGCGUCUCAGCCUGACCAGCAUAGUGGGACCCAACUUUUU